GUUGUAUAGUCAAGUAAUUAAGUGCAUGUGGUGGAUGCCUUGGCAGUCAGAGGCGAUGAAAGACGUGAUAGCCUGCGAAAAGCUCCGGGGAGGCGGCAAAUAUCCUUUGAUCCGGAGAUGUCUGAAUGGGGGAACCCACCUACUUUAAGGUAGGUAUUGCAACAUGAAUACAUAGUGUUGCAAGGCGAACGAGGGGAAGUGAAACAUCUCAGUACCCUUAGGAAAAGAAAUCAAUUGAGAUUCCCUCAGUAGCGGCGAGCGAACGGGGAUCAGCCCAUUAAGUUAUGUGUGUUUUAGUGGAACGCUCUGGGAAGUGCGAACGUAGAGGGUGAUAUUCCCGUACACGAAAGGGCACACAUAAUGAUGACGAGUAGGGCGAGGCACGUGAAACCUUGUCUGAAUAUGGGGGGACCAUCCUCCAAGGCUAAAUACUCCUGACUGACCGAUAGUGAACCAGUACCGUGAGGGAAAGGCGAAAAGAACCCCUGUGAGGGGAGUGAAAUAGAUCCUGAAACCGCAUGCAUACAAGCAGUGGGAGCACCUUCGUGGUGUGACUGCGUACCUUUUGUAUAAUGGGUCAGCGACUUAUAUUCAGUAGCGAGGUUAACCGUAUAGGGGAGCCGUAGAGAAAUCGAGUCUUAAUAGGGCGUUUAGUUGCUGGGUAUAGACCCGAAACCAGGCGAUCUAUCCAUGAGCAGGUUGAAGGUUGGGUAACACUAACUGGAGGACCGAACCCACUGUCGUUGAAAAGCCAGGGGAUGACUUGUGGAUAGGGGUGAAAGGCUAAUCAAGCCUGGUGAUAGCUGGUUCUCCCCGAAAGCUAUUUAGGUAGCGCCUCGGACGAAUACCAUAGGGGGUAGAGCACUGUUUCGGCUAGGGGGUCAUCCCGACUUACCAAACCGAUGCAAACUCCGAAUACCUAUGAGUACUAUCCGGGAGACAGACUGCGGGUGCUAACGUCCGUAGUCAAGAGGAAAACAAUCCAGACCGCCAGCUAAGGCCCCAAAAUCAUAGUUAAGUGGGAAACGAUGUGGGAAGGCAUAGACAGCUAGGAGGUUGGCUUAGAAGCAGCCACCCUUUAAAGAAAGCGUAAUAGCUCACUAGUCGAGUCGGCCUGCGCGGAAGAUGUAACGGGGCUAAAACUAUGUGCCGAAGCUGCGGAUGUAUACUUUGUAUACGUGGUAGGGGAGCGUUCUGUAAGCCGAUGAAGGUGUGUUGAGAAGCAUGCUGGAGGUAUCAGAAGUGCGAAUGCUGACGUGAGUAACGACAAAACGGGUGAAAAACCCGUUCGCCGAAAGACCAAGGGUUCCAGUCCAACGUUAAUCGGGGCUGGGUGAGUCGACCCCUAAGGCGAGGCCGAAAGGCGUAGUCGAUGGGAAAAUGGUUAAUAUUCCAUUACUUCUGUGUAAUGCGAUGAGAGGACGGAGAAGGCUAAAUCAGCCUGGCGUUGGUUGUCCAGGUGAAAGGAUGUAGGCAUGUAUCUUAGGCAAAUCCGGGGUACUCUAUGCUGAGAUCUGAUAGCAAGCUGUACUUGUACAGCGAAGUGGUUGAUGCCAUGCUUCCAGGAAAAGUCUCUAAGCUUCAGUUACACAGGAAUCGUACCCGAAACCGACACAGGUGGUCAGGUCGAGUAGACCAAGGCGCUUGAGAGAACUCUGCUGAAGGAACUAGGCAAAAUGGUACCGUAACUUCGGGAGAAGGUACGCUGUUGUUGGUGAUGGAACUUGCUUCCUGAGCUGACGACAGCCGCAGAAACCAGGCCGCUGCAACUGUUUAUUAAAAACAUAGCACUCUGCAAACACGAAAGUGGACGUAUAGGGUGUGAUGCCUGCCCGGUGCUGGAAGGUUAAUUGAUGGGGUU
rnacentral:rRNA from 1 species